rnacentral:rRNA from 1 species
UACUUGUACUGAUUGAGAUUUUAACACGAAGUGAGUGGCGAACGGGUGAGUAACACGUGGGUAACCUGCCCAGAAGUAGGGGAUAACACCUGGAAACAGGUGCUAAUACCGUAUAACAACAAAAUCCGCAUGGAUUUUGUUUGAAAGGUGGCUUCGGCUAUCACUUUUGGAUGGUCCCGCGGCGUAUUAGCUAGAUGGUGGGGUAACGGCUCACCAUGGCAAUGAUACGUAGCCGACCUGAGAGGGUAAUCGGCCACAUUGGGACUGAGACACGGCCCAAACUCC